rnacentral:rRNA from 1 species
UUGCUUUUGCAAGCUAGGUCCCUGUAAACGAGUCGGGCAGCUUGAGAAUGCUGCCUUAAUUAGGUGGUACGCCCCAUCAGAAAA